GUGUGCACUGCAUAUCACCUUCUCAGCAUAGUCCAUGCAAUAAUUGUCAGUGAGAGUAGCGCGUGUACAAAACGACAGCGAGAGAGUGCAGGUAACGUCAAUCCCGCACGCACACACACACAAGCGCUUAAACAUAUGUCAAAGCUUUGGCGCACGUGCAAUGCCAACUAUCUAAAGCACAAAACCAUAAACAGAAAGAAAAAACAAUGAGGAGAGGGAAUAAUACCAAAUUGCAUGGCUGCCCUCAUAAUUAUUCUGCUGUGUGUCUGCAUGCGAGUGUGUGUGGGAGUAUGGGCGCCACCGGCGUUGUGCUCUCCGCCAGCAACUUGUUGCGCCGCCCUAGAAUGCCGUUGGUUUUUGCACACGACCGAGAGAACA